GCGCAUGACAGCAUUCACUGGUGAAAGGACUGGCAGCAGCGAGAGCAUCAUAGUUGACAUGGUCGGAGCUACAGUCCCCAUAUCCGUCUCUACUCUUUCUGUAAUUGACUUCCUCCCGCUCCCAACCAACCUUUUCCUUUGAAAUGGUUGAGGGAUAUGAAUCUGGAUCCCGAUCUUGUCUCACGGGCUAUCCCGUAGUGGUUCUGUGACCGUCAAUUGGAUCUAUUUCUUUCACACGGUCAACUGGCAUUGGUUCAACUAACUGGCUGGCUGCUAUUGAUUGAUAUCAGAGCCCGAGCCUUUGCCCCUUUUUGCAUGGUCAACGAGUUAUGGUCC
rnacentral:lncRNA from 1 species